UCCGUGUCGUGGAGCAGCUGCUCGGUGUGCGCUUUCCAUCGCCACAAAACCCAUCGUAUAAAUUGGAAAAUUUCAACUACUCGGCCAUCAAUCAGCAGCGAGUCUUUCUUAGUUCCAAGUCUUAGUUUUCCCUUUGGGUGGGAAACUUUUAUAAUUAGCUUCGGGGGCGGCCAAGAUGUGUAAUUUUCCUCGGAUUUGAUGUGAAGAGUGCCAAGAUCUAAUUAAAUCAGGGCAGGCGCAGAACUCUCUAAUCAAGCAUAUAAAUUAAGGAUUACAUUUUCAAUUAUUUGCAAAAAACUUUCCAGACUUUUUGAUAAAAAAUGUUGCAUGCUGGUGUGGAACUUUCCCAGUGGAAAUGUUUGUGCAACUUUAGUUGAAUUCACAAUUAGCCCUGGCCUCUGCUAAUCAUUCCUUUGAAGUGGAUUUCUGAAUGAAAUCAGUGGCUGCCACACAAAACGAAGCAGCCUCCCAAUCCUUUGCCCCAGCAGAGUGCAUACUGAAACAAGUUGUCGGCUGUCUCAAGUUGUGUCCUAGUGUCCAUAUGUGAUUAGUAAUUCAGUUUGAUUGAUUCCUUUUCACGCUUUAAAUGCUUUCAGCAGCCGGAAACAGGAAACUCCAGAGAGUCUACCCUCGUCGCAAUUAAUCUCAGAAUUCUACAGUAAAAUGUUUUACUUCUGGCAGGAAAUUGGAAUACAUUAUCGCCAUCAAUGCAGCGACUCCCCUGAGGCGUGGGAGUACGUGGGCUUGGUUUUAAUUUAAAUGACCCAGCAUCACAUGUGCUGUGUGCAUUUCAGCUUCAAGGACGAAAAGCGAAGUAGAUUUAUUUGGUCGAUAUGCUCUUUUUAUGGGUAAGCUGUAAAAAAAAGUAGUUAAAUUUAAAUCUUCAUAUAUUGCUCUUUAAGUACAAAUUUAUCUAAUCGACGUAUGGGGAUCUAAAAACUAUCAAAAUCCGAAACCAGAAUAUAGCCACUAAACACCAUACCGGAAACAAUCGAAAAUCAAAAAUAGCAAUAUGAAAAUUGAUGCCCAUCUUGGAUUUUCCCAACGAAUAUAUUUCCAGCAUAAAAUGGGAUUGCUAGCCCCAACAAUGGCUGCAAUUAUAACCUAACCGCUUUAGUAUUUGAUGGCCAUUCAAAAAGAGUACAACACAUACGUAGAGCAAAAUGAAACAAAGGCAUUGACAGCUCCAAAACAAUUGCACAACUAAUCAAUGAGAGUCAUCAAUGAACGCCAAUAAGAAGAGAGAAGAGUGCAAUGAAAGUGGAAGAAAGUAGAAACAAAAAAUAAGGAAAACAAUUAAACUAAUUGUCGGCCAUUUAUACGCAACAAAGACACAGACACACUGUGCAAAAAGGGAAACCAAACACAAGAUAAAACGGAAAAGUUCAUACAGAAAAACGAAAAAGAUUUAAAGAAAAAAUUGGAGCAGCUGGAAAGUUUUGCACAGCAUCGAAAAGUAAACCGCUGAAAUUACGGCAGUCGGAAGAAAUACUCGGUUAGAGCAGGCAUCCAUUAACUUGUCCACUAAUGAAACCACAUUGAAAGACUAACCAGCAUCAGCACCAUCAACAUUUCUACCGCUGGCAAUAUCUACUAAUUGACACUGUCUUGUGGGGUAUAAAAUGCGAAUUAGUUCACUGCACAG